rnacentral:rRNA from 1 species
AUGCCGCAACGAAGAAACAACAACAAAGAAAUAGAAAGGCCCUGCAUUUUGCUAUAUUCAACCCGCGGUCCAUAUGUCUAUGUCUGGGGACCGGAUCAAUGUGGGCAGGCGGCGACUCGAGCGGCGUUGGGACGGCGGCGGCGGAGGCGGCGACUAGAGCUUGCAGGGGCUGGGGAGGCGGAUACAAAGGCGGGGGUCGCCGGAGCGCGGAUUCACGGGCGGAUCCAUGGCAUCCACGGUCCUGGGCAGAAAGGAGACGUUUCAGAUACCAAAAGGAUUGUACAGUCAGACUGGAUGACAUUACGAUUGAAUUACCUUGCAUCAGCUUAUCUUGUUCUUCUAUACACAGUUCAGAUUGAUGUUCUGAAGAUUGAAAUCCAUCUAUCUCAGAGCAGCAGUUGGCAAACCAAAUCCAAGAACAUGAUGGUGUGUCAUGUUCCAUCCGUCCCUGGCUCGUUAACAUUGAAGGUGCCGUCUGCUAUGGUCAUCAGAGGCGUAGCUGCCCGUACUCAUCACAAGUUGUUGGCACUGGAUUUAUUAUCUCGAGGAGAAGAGGUAGGGAGAAGAAGGAAGGGUGCGGCAGGGGCGCAGCGAUGCAAGGGCGCUGGUCUUGUGCGCGUGGAGCAUCUCUCCUUGGGCGGUUGCGCUGGUUGGUUCGGCACGCAAAUGCCCACCUUGCCCACGUCCGACAACUCAUCGCCGGCGCGGAAGACAUGGACUCCUACCACAGAGAGCUCGCAUGCCCUGCAGCGGCUGGAACUGGCUGAAGGUCAUCCCGCAUCCUCGACUUCAUCCUUUCCUGCGCCCUCCUCCAUCCAUGACCUCUGUUGCUUCAUUGUUGACGAGUUAAUGUCUUAUGCAACCCUGCCAUCUACAAUUUGCCAGUCAGAAGGUGACCUGAAGCUUAAAAUAGAGAAAAUGACCAUGAGCUCUGUCAAGUAUGGCAACAGAGGUUGCUGGAUGUUAACUGCGCAUCGCCACCCGCUGCCGCGAGCCGCUGCCCGCCGGCCCCAGCCCCGCCACAGGCUACAGCGCGCCGCCACCGCCUACCCCGCCGGCACUCCUACCCCUACCCCAAGUGCCUCCCACGCUCGCUACGUUCUACCGCCGGCGACACUCGACGCCGCGGCCGUUGCCGGCUCCCACACCCGCGGGCCUUUAUCUCCCCGGCGGCCGCCGCCGCCGCCCUGCUCGUCCAGCGGGCUGGCCCUGUCCAUGGGGCGUAGGGGCUACCCGCGCCCUUCGACGCCCGCACGCGCCUCCUUCUGCCCUUCCGCCGCGGACGAUGCCGACUUCUCUGAGUCUAAUGCGAUCCUGGUGGUGGCCACGCCCUGCGAGAGUCUGCUGCUGCUCAGCCCAGCGUCUUGCCGUGGCGGGCGCCUGUCGUCGGAGCUCUGGUUGUCGGUUCCAGAGUCGGGUGGAGAAGAUUGCCCGGAAGCUGGAGGACGUGCACCAGCUGCGGUUGCUGGACAACCGCUACGUUUAGUGGCUGAGGGAAUUGUUGGGCUACGAGAAUCAGUCGCUGAUAAGAGGGCUGAGGCUGAGAAGAUCAAGAGGGAUCAGAGAUUGUGCUCAAUUGUUGGUGGUCAGGACGUCAGGAGUUAUCUGAAGAAAGGACUCACUAUCUGGUUAAAUGUUCCAUUGGAUGCCCUUGCAAGAAGGAUUGCUGUGGUGGUUCAGCGUCAUUGCCCCUCCUGCAUCAACAAUCUGGUGAUCCAUAUGCAAAGAUUGUCGGCAAGAUCAAGGCCUACCAGCCCCUUUGCACCGUGCUAUAUUGUUCAGAAGAGCUAUUUUGUGUACAUGAGUUGCUACUGGCAGUGGACAGAUUGUCUAUGCAGAGUGCGUAGAGAAAAAAAGGAAGUCAAUGUUUGUUUUAUAGUUCAAACCAAUCACUGCGACGGCGGCUUCGCCCAUUCCGUCGUGUGCCGGCGACGGCCGCCGCCGUGCCUCGCGCGGGAGGACGGAGGGCGCUCGCCGGGAGGAUGGAGGACGGCGCGGCUAGGCGGGGCAGUGGUGGUGGCGUGUGCGGCGGAGACGGCGCGGCAAGGCCGGGCAGUGGCGUUGGUUGACCGGCCGUCGUGCCUCGCGCGGGAGGAUGGACGAUGCUCGCCGGUGCGUGUGCGGCGGAGACGGCUUCUGCCGCGCGUCGAGGUGGAGCAGCAGAGGACGGGAAGGCAAGGAGGCAAGGUGGGUACGCUGUGCAUCAGGGCCGCCUUUGUCCUCCACCUCCUCCAAAAGCGCGCGCUCCCCGCGGGCGCUGGCGGUGGCGCGGCGGUCCUCGCCCGCGGGUGCGCGGGUGCGCGGAGGCGUCGGGGAUCGAGGGAGCUCUCCUCCCUAGCGGCUGGAGGCGCUCGGGAUCGAGCGAGUGGGCGAGGGGAUCGGGGCCCCUGGUGGCUCCCUGCUUGGCGAUUGCACGAGAUGCUACUCGGGCGUGGGCUGGCCGACUCGAUCUCCUCGACCCAGGGCCCCGUGCUCGUCAGCGCCUGCCCCAUCGCGCACGACUUCUCUGAUCCAGCACCAAAUUCCGAGGACCACGCGGAGCUCGACCUGGACGCACUCCACCUAAUGGGAGGGCGGCACCAAGAACGGCAACAGCAGUAUGGGCUUGCUGCCAGCAAGGAAAUUGGGAUAACUUUGGCAAUAUAUCAUACAAGGAUGGUUGUGGUACUCCGUCAGCAAAGCAACUCUGAUCCCUCCAACUCUCAGAUUGUUGGACUAUACAGAGCUAAGAUAGAAAACUUUCAGAUGUUGUCCAGAUUGCAUCCUUCAAUGCUAUGUGUACUUCAAUGCUUGAUGUUUCCUCCCCAGAUUAUAUAUCUAUGUCAAGAAGGGAUGCAUGAUGCCCCCAGUUUGUCGUGGCUUCGAAUUAGUGGUGCCACGCUGAAACACUCGACAUGGUUCCUUGACUUAUUUGUUCCUGUAGAUUCUGAACUAGCAGUUCAUUGA